AACGAUGAAGCCCAGCUUGCUGGGUGGAUUAGUGGCGAACGGGUGAGUAACACGUGAGUAACCUGCCCUUAACUCUGGGAUAAGCCUGGGAAACUGGGUCUAAUACCGGAUAGGAGCGUCCACCGCAUGGUGGGUGUUGGAAAGAUUUAUCGGUUUUGGAUGGACUCGCGGCCUAUCAGCUUGUUGGUGAGGUAAUGGCUCACCAAGGCGACGACGGGUAGCCGGCCUGAGAGGGUGACCGGCCACACUGGGACUGAGACACGGCCCAGACUCCUACGGGAGGCAGCAGUGGGGAAUAUUGCACAAUGGGCGAAAGCCUGAUGCAGCGACGCCGCGUGAGGGAUGACGGCCUUCGGGUUGUAAACCUCUUUCAGUAGGGAAGAAGCGAAAGUGACGGUACCUGCAGAAGAAGCACCGGCUAACUACGUGCCAGCAGCCGCGGUAAUACGUAGGGUGCGAGCGUUAUCCGGAAUUAUUGGGCGUAAAGAGCUCGUAGGCGGUUUGUCGCGUCUGUCGUGAAAGUCCGGGGCUUAACCCCGGAUCUGCGGUGGGUACGGGCAGACUAGAGUGCAGUAGGGGAGACUGGAAUUCCUGGUGUAGCGGUGGAAUGCGCAGAUAUCAGGAGGAACACCGAU
rnacentral:rRNA from 1 species